UCGCUUCAAAAUAUCUCAUCUCGCUCUACAAUCAUAAAAGGAACAUUAUCUUGAAAUCAUAGGGAAAAAAUAAUCUAGCAUGCUCUCUGUAAUAGGAGCAGCACCGCAACCUGGAGCAAGAUAUUUUUCUAUUUUAACAAAUUUUAUAUAAAAAAUAAUUUUUAUAUUAUCUAUUAAUGUGUAUCUAUCCGUACCAUAAUAUUUUUAAAUAUUAUGGAAUUAGAGAAAUUUACACGUUUUCUCAUUCCAUUCCCGUGGAGCUGGGCUGGAUGAGAAGAAACUCUUAUGUCCAGUUUUGCAGUAGUAAUAGGACAUUAAGCAGUAAAAAAAUAGCAUAUGAUAUGUGCAAGUGAUGUCGAAUGUACAUAGGUGUAAAUCGAAAUCAAAUUCUGAUUGCAGGGCGCCUCUUGUUAGGUAGCCAAAAAGUGGAAAAUUGAAUUGAACUUGUUUCAAGUGCCCAUUUGUUUCAAGGGAACAAAAUAACAAGGAAAAAAUAGAGGUUGAAUGACAGCAAGUGUCUUACUGUUCCUUUCCCUUCUUCAACCACAUUGCACUCAUCUACUUCAUCGCUAAUGCAAAAAACCCGGAUCAGCAAUCAGACCAUUCCGUCACAAACUGGUCACAAAGUGUAGUAAAAAUAAAUAAAUUAAAUGCAACAAUUAUAUAGGGAAAGCUAACCUGAAUACCAACAUAGGUACACAGGUAGAAAUCAAACUCAUAAUCUUUGAAAUAUGUGAACAAAGCAAUUUAAGGACACCAAGGUUGAAUAAAAUAGACCGCGGCAAUAGAAAAUGAAAAGGCUAAUGCACUCAAACAACUACUUCGACCUGAAGAUGGAAAGAAACAACUCGUCUAACACACACAUACAAUAACUGAAUACUAAUUUAUUUUUUAACAUGGAAUAAAGUGGAAAAAUAUCUCAGUCAAAAACAUAACUCGCACCUGAAUAAGCAUGGUGAAUUAAAUAUCUUCAGAAGGAGGCCAUUCCUUCACACAGUAACGGGCUUCGGGCUUCUGUUCUUCGUUUGACAUAGCA
rnacentral:lncRNA from 1 species